UUCUGACAGGAGUAAAGAAAUUGACACAUACACACAAACUAAUCUUGUUUUGACAGUGCUAAAGAAAUGGACCCCCCCCAAUCCUGUUUUAACAGGACUGAAGAAAUAGUUGGGGGUUUUUGGUGUAGGGGACCUGCUACUAGUUUAACCACCCUUGUUGUGUGUUUGUAGGUUGCUUCUGACUCAUAGUGACCUUCUGAUGGGGUUUUCUUGGCAAGUUUCUUCAGAAGGGUUUUGCCGUGGCCAUUUUCUGAGGCUGAGAGAGUGUGACUUGAGCAAGGUUACCCCAGUGGGUUUCCAUGGCCAAGACGGGCUUCAAACCCUGGCCUCUCAGUGUCCUAGUCCCUCUUCCCUUCUGCGACUCAGCCUUGUCUUCACUCAGUUGCUCUUCUCUUGGAUCCCCCCUUUUUGAAGCAAGAGUGUUGAGGCCAAGGGACAGAGAAAGGUGUCACUCCCUAGUACCCCAUAAAAUGCCUGCUUAUGGGUGCAAUUGGAGCCAAUCUCUCUGGAAGGGAAGCUUCUCAAAGAUUCACAAUAUGGGUUAAUUGGCUGGAGGGUUGCAGGACAGCCUAGAUAUUGAAGUCCAGAUGCAAUGGGGCUCCAUAUGUUUCUCUGUAGAUGUGAACACAGGUGCAUACCUACACACUCUUAACAUCCUAGGAGAUGCAAUGGCACUUGUGUAUGUUGCCAAGCUUUGCCAUUCACUUAACUAUCCAUAGAUUGCAUCGGCAUUCUUUAAAGAGUAGUGUGCAGCGAAAUGUAGAUAGCCUUGUGUGUUCAGCUCAGUUCACUUCACCAAAUGUGUAUUCUCCCUAAAUACCCUCAGAAGGCACCAGAUCCCAUCUGAUCUUGAAAGCUGAGCAGGGUCAGCUCUAGUUAGUACUUGGAUGGGAGACUAGCAAUGAAUGCCUGGUGUUGUAGGCUAUAUUUCAGAGGAAGGAUCUGGCAAAACCACCUCUGAGUAUUCCUUGCCUAAGGAAACCUUAUGAAAUUAAUGGGGUUGCCAUAAGUCAACAGGUGACUUUAAAGGCAUUCGCACACACACAGGUUAAAAGGACGCCAUUUCCAUUUCUUACACAGGGGAAGAUUUCUCCACAUUUGCCCUGGGUUAGCAAGGGAGGGCUACCCAAAUAGCAGUCUUUUUCAGGUGUGACCAUUAUGGAUACAAAUGGAUAUCUGAGUACAGUAUACAUCUACAUCCCAUAGAUGACCUGGACAUCUCAGAAUGGGCUGAGCACAUCUUGGGAAGCGAAGAGAGAUCGUCCAUUAGUUGUGGUAUUUGUGAUUAUAGCUGGAUUGGGGUCAGUGUGUUUAGAUCUAAACUGUUAGAAGGACUCUUGAGCAUUUUGAUGACAGAUAGGAAAAUGUAAAUAGUCUUUGUUUCACUUAAGGUUAUAUGUUAUGUGAGAGUGGAGAAUACCAUCUUUCCAAUCCAUCAUCCCCAGUAGUAAAAGUAGGCUCAGAGAAAGAAUCCAUGUGACAGGUAUUUAUCUAAAUAUCACAGUUCUAUGGAGAGCUCUAGAUUUUGCUCUUGCUUGGUUGUGCUGCCCUGUGAAAGUGUGUGAGCUUCUGCUGCUGUUGGUGGUCCUUGUGGGGCUAUGAAGCAAAAGGCUGCCACACCUGACAGCUUACAGCUUGUGUCACUAAUGGCUACACUGGGAGAGGGUCUGUAGAAAUACAGGACUCGUCCCUCCAGCUUCCUUUGCCUGAGUGUGUCUAAAGAAGGUAUAGCUGGACAGUGAAAAUCUUUUUUUCUUGCUUAAGGCUAUCAUUUGCACCAACUCUAAUUUCCCACUCUUGUUUCUGUUGUUCUUUUGCAGGCUGGUGUUGUGAAUAAGCAAGGGGACAGUAUUCUGUGCCGCUGAACUGCAUGCACUUCUAAGGUGUGCGGCAGGCAGAUCCUGAGCCAGAGAAGCAGAAAGAAAGACACAUUAGAGGGAGGGGGGGGAAAAGAAAGAAAUAUCAGCCACUGGGCAAAAAGGAAAAAAACAAAACCUACUCCUGAAUUCUUUCCAUACUUCCUUUAGAGAGAAAGAGAGGAGAAUUUUUCACGACUUUUGCACGUUCAUAGCAUUUUACACACAUGUCUCUUAAUUCUUUUGUUUUUAGAUCAGAUGUGAAUUGUACUCUUGUCUGGGAGGGAGGGGGUUUAAAUCUUCAGCAUGAGUGUGGCUCUUCUGUUGGAUAGAGAGAAGAUCAAGGACAAAUGGGGAGUGUAGAAGUUUUAACUUUUAAUGUGCUGAGCAGCUGAAAUCUGAAGCUUUACUAAUCUACCAGAGGCAUUGUAGAUAACUUUUGUUUGGACAUCUAUUGUUUAAAAUAGAUGGUUUUAUUGUUUCCUCGGGGACUUUCUUCUCCCUGGAGGAAUGUUACAUAUUGUAUAGAUUAAAAAAAAAUGAAGAAGAAGAGGAGAAAGCGACAUUUCAUACUAUGUAUAUAGAGAGAGGUUCUAUAAGUGUAAGUGAGAAAAGUAUAUGCUUUAAUAGACCUACUGUAAUUAUAAAAUAUUUUUAAUUAAAUAUUUUUUGUAAAUAUUCUAAA